rnacentral:rRNA from 1 species
GGGGAGCGGCAGACGGGUGAGUAACGCGUGGGAAUCUACCGUGCCCUACGGAAUAGCUCCGGGAAACUGGAAUUAAUACCGUAUACGCCCUACGGGGGAAAGAUUUAUCGGGGUAUGAUGAGCCCGCGUUGGAUUAGCUAGUUGGUGGGGUAAAGGCCUACCAAGGCGACGAUCCAUAGCUGGUCUGAGAGGAUGAUCAGCCACAUUGGGACUGAGACACGGCCCAAACUCCUACGGGAGGCAGCAGUGGGGAAUAUUGGACAAUGGGCGCAAGCCUGAUCCAGCCAUGCCGCGUGAGUGAUGAAGGUCUUAGGAUUGUAAAGCUCUUUCACCGGUGAAGAUAAUGACGGUAACCGGAGAAGAAGCCCCGGCUAACUUCGUGCCAGCAGCCGCGGUAAUACGAAGGGGGCUAGCGUUGUUCGGAAUUACUGGGCGUAAAGCGCACGUA